AUUGAACGCUGGCGGCAUGCCUUACACAUGCAAGUCGAACGGCAGCGCGGGAGCAAUCCUGGCGGCGAGUGGCGAACGGGUGAGUAAUACACCGGAACGUGCCCAAUCGUGGGGGAUAACGCAGCGACAGCUGUGCUAAUACCGCAUACGAUCUACGGAUGAAAGCCGGGGAUCGCAAGACCUUGCGCGACUGGCGGGGCCGAUGGCAGAUUAGGUAGUUGGUAAGGUAAAGGCUUACCAAGCCUUCGAUCUGUAGCUGGUCUGAGAGGACGACCAGCCACACUGGGACUGAGACACGGCCCAGACUCCUACGGGAGGCAGCAGUGGGGAAUUUUGGACAAUGGGCGAAAGCCUGAUCCAGCCAUGCCGCGUGCAGGAUGAAGGCCUUCGGGUUGUAAACUGCUUUUGUACGGAACGAAACGGUGUUUUCUAAUAAAGAAGGCUAAUGACGGUACCGAAAGAAUAAGCACCGGCUAACUACGUG
rnacentral:rRNA from 1 species